rnacentral:rRNA from 1 species
GCGCAGCAGGCGCGAAACCUUCGCAAUGCGGGAAACCGCGACGAGGGGACUCCCAGUGCCUACGCUCAGCGUAGGCUGUUCCCGAGCCUAGAAAGCUCGGGGAGUAAGGGCUGGGUAAGACGGGUGCCAGCCGCCGCGGUAAUACCCGCAGCCCGAGUGGUGGCCACUAUUAUUGGGCCUAAAGCGUCCGUAGCCGGCCCGGUAAAUGCCUGGGUAAAUCGUGAGGCCUAACCUCACGAAUUCCGGGUAGACUGCCGGGCUAGGGACCGGAGGAGGGAGAGGGUACUCCAGGGGUAGGGGUGAAAUCCUGUAAUCCCUGGAGGACCACCGGUGGCGAAGGCGCUCUCCUAGGACGGGUCCGACGGUGAGGGACGAAAGCCAGGGGAGCGAACCGGAUUAGAUACCCCGGUAGU